UGUUUACCAUGCCACAAGCAUGUUGAAAGAUGUGACAACUGAAGACUUUCCGACUGCAAUUGGAGAAACAGAGGAAAGCGAAAUAGAGACCAACAACUGCAUAGCCCAGGACAUAAAAGCCUGCAUUUAUCAAAACACAGGAGAUAAAACUCUGCAUCCACACAUCAAAC